GUCUUUUUGAUAAAUAAUUUAAAGUCUAAUCUGCCCCCUGAAAUUAUUUUAAAGGGCUGCGGUAUCUUAACCGUACAAAGGUAGCAUAAUAAUUAGGUUUUUAAUUGAAAUCUUGAAUGAAUGAUUGGACGAGAUAUGAGCUGUUUUAAAAUAUAAAUUUGAAUUUAAUUUUUUAGUUAAAAAGCUAAAAUAUUUUUAAAAGACGAGAAGACCCUAUAAAUCUUUAUAAUUUAUUUAUUUUAAUUAAUUAUUUUAAUGAAAUUAAUUUAAAUAGAGAAAUUAUUUUAUUGGGGUGAUAUAAAAAUUUUUUAAACUUUUUAUGAUUAUAAUACUAUAAUUAAAGAUUUAUAAAAUAUAUGAUCUAUUAAUAAUAAUUAAAAGAAAAAGAUACUUUAGGGAUAACAGCGUAAUUUUAAUAUUAAGUUCAUAUUAUUAUUAAAGAUUGCGACCUCGAUGUUGGAUUAAAAUUUAAUUUAAAUGCAAAAGUUUAAAAAUUAAGUCUGUUCGACUUUUAAAAUUUU
rnacentral:rRNA from 1 species